GGAAGGGAGCCGGGAGAGCUCGCGUGCCUGAACCCGGCCGCUCCACAACCCACUUCCGGAAAGAAGCCCCGGAACCUGGAUAUUGCGCGGGGAGCGGCUGAGGCGCGGCGGCGCGUUAUGUCGCUAUGCGGGUUGCGGGGCCGCGGCGGGCAGGCGGCGGACUCGGGUUCGCAGGGUCCGUUCAGGUCUGUAGCAAAGAAGACAGCUUGCCGUGCUGCACGCCUUGCUGGGAGCACACAGCAAAGUGAGGGUCGUGUGUGAGGCUGCCAGGACGUGACGGAGAGCUUGCAGGCAGCGACCUUUAGCGAUGGGACAACAGCCUCCGAGCAGCAGGCUGACAAAGGUAACCGAGUCUUUGGGCUGUGAGGUCUCAAAGUCUCUUCACAACCCCAUGAGGUUGGAGAUAGGCAUGCAGAUCGCCGUGGAUCUUGUAUAGGAUGCUUGCGACUGUCUUAGCUUGGCAUAGAAGACUGCGGGAAUCAGAGAGGUUGGAAGGGGCCUCUGGAGAUUGAGUCCAACGUCUCUGUUAAAGGAGGUUCCUGACAGCAGGUUGCACAGGAAAGCAUCCAGGCAGGUCUCAAAACAUCUGCAGAGAAGAUGACUUCACAGCCUGUUCCAGUGCUCCAUCGCCCUCCCAGUGAAGAAGUUCUUUCGCAUGUUUGUACGGAACUUUCUGUAUUGCAGUUUUUGCCCAUUGCUCCUCGUCCUGUUGCUGCAUACUGCUGAAAAGAGCCUGGCCCUAUCCAUCUGACUUCUGCACUUAAGAUCUUUGCAAACAUUGAGGUCACCUCUCCGUCUUCUCCAGGUUGAACGGCCCCAGGUCUCUCAGCCUUUCCUAUCAAAGGGGAUGCAUCCAUGAAUAAAACGUCUCUGCUUCAGAAAUAAAGCUUUGGAGAUAGAAGAGCUGUUGCAGUAGAAAAUGAAAGUUCUGUUCAGACUGGAAAAAUGGAGUUCCCUGUAUGUUCUGUAUCCAAAACUUCCCCUGAAGCUAAGCAGAAUGUUUGUGUUUGACCUCACUGAAGUGCGUAGCGUUUGGUUCCCAAUAAAGCUUUUCUCACUCAAAAGGCUGCUGAGCUCAGUGUUGGUUAAAAUGCAAUAUCAGUGCCAAAUUCCUGUCCUUUUUCUGGGGUGUGCUGAGGGGUGUGCUCCUUUCUUCAUUGCCUGCUGUUCCCAAGGAAAGCAGUGUGCUAUCUCCCAGCCUACAGAAUGGGAUUUGCAAGAGUUCCAUCUCCUGGUCGUUGAUGUUUCACUUACUUUUCUGUGUAAACUCACUGCAAGUUUAUUAAAUUUGUGAAGCUGAAAA